CCUACGGGGUGCAGCAGUGAGGAAUAUUGGUCAAUGGACGAGAGUCUGAACCAGCCAAGUAGCGUGAAGGAUGACUGCCCUAUGGGUUGUAAACUUCUUUUAUAUGGGAAUAAAAUGUUCCACGUGUGGGAUUUUGUAUGUACCAUAUGACUAAGGAUCGGCUAACUCCGUGCCAGCAGCCGCGGUAAUACGGAGGAUCCGAGCGUUAUCCGGAUUUAUUGGGUUUAAAGGGAGCGUAGGUGGAUUGUUAAGUCAGUUGUGAAAGUUUGCGGCUCAACCGUAAAAUUGCAGUUGAAACUGGCAGUCUUGAGUACAGUAGAGGUGGGCGGAAUUCGUGGUGUAGCGGUGAAAUGCUUAGAUAUCACGAAGAACUCCGAUUGCGAAGGCAGUUCACUGGACUGCAACUGACACUGAGGCUCGAAAGUGUGGGUAUCAAACAGGAUUAGAUACCCUUGUAGUC
rnacentral:rRNA from 1 species